UUAAUCAAUUAAUAUGAUUAGAAGUGAUUCAGAGUUUUAUUGUUAUCCUAAAUUUUAUAAAUCUCAAGUAAAUUUAUUCUAUAGAAUUAAUUGAGAAAAGAUAUUUUACUUUAGCUACCUUAACAGCCGGUCUUUCUGAGAGGACUUUGCUUUUCUUUUGUGCUAUCUCGGCUUUGAAAUGUUUCCAGUUUUGUAUUGAUUUUGUUUUAAUUGUGUGAUUAUUAGGAAAUUAUUUAAAUUGAUCAAAGAUGUAUUCCAUAAAGAUUCACAGACUCAACUGGAAUGCAACAGAAUUCAAUGAUUGGUGAACAGAGAAGCCGGAAAGAUGGUCAAAUAUGUAUACUAAAUUAUAAUUAUUGUCUUGAAAGUAGCGGUCUAUCUGGUCUAUGGACAAUAUACUGAUGAAAGCUGAUGAAAAACAAAUGAUGGACUGUCCAGAAAGCUAAACAAUGUGAAAAAGUAAAACGUUGUAACAUGGUCAAGUGAAACAAAGUACCUAGCUUCUGGGCAUUGGGUGAUCAAGUCUAAAUCACAAUGAUAACGUUAAAGUAAUAUAUAAGGCCAAUAUACCGUGAUAAGACCAUGGAUGGUAAAAACAAAACAUAGUAAAACAUUGCCAAUCAUACUCACCAUCAUACUCGUCAUCAUUAUACUCAUCAUACUCAUCAACAUGAUCGUCUUACCGUUCGUGAAUAGCCAAGGUUCCAUAAAAUUUUUAACAAUACUGGGUAUUACCUUUUUUUUAGUGGGUGCAAUGCCCAUUAAAAUUUUUCAAGAAACAAGAAAAGGAAGAAGAAGAGUCAACAGGGUGGCUUCUUCUUCUUCUUCUUUUCUUCCUCUUCCCCUUCUCUUAUUAUUGUUAUUAUUAUUGCUCCUUCGGCGGUAUCAGGUCAAUAUUAUACUGAUCUUGAAGCAACUAAUAACACAAUAACAUCUCGCAAAACUCACUAAUGUUCAAAACCAUUCAAACAAAUUCUCGUUGUUUUUUCUCUCUUCUUCCUUGCCUUCUUUCACCACUUCUCCUCUUACCUUUCAACUUGUCUGGUUAUUUGUUAUUGGCAAAUUAUUAUUGUUCAAAUAAUCAUUAUUACCCUUAUUGGCAUUAUUGUUUUUAAGGCUGUUAAAAUUGUCUUUAUUUUUAAAUAAUUAAUCGAUUUAAUAGAAUAGAUAACAUUUUUUAUUCAUUCAGUAUUGCCUAUCAAUUUAAAUAAUUUCAAUUCCAAUUCCUUCGGGUUUUCCUUGGAUUCACUUUUGCCACUAGCGAUGAUGAUGGUAAUAAUGAUGGUGAUAUUGUUGUCAAAGUUGAUUAUGUUUAUUUUUACACAAUUAUAAUCAAUCUUUUAGAUUGAUUUGCGAAACUAAAUUAUCAUGAUAAUGGUUAUAGUAUUUUGUUGAUAUAAACUUUUCAUCUAACUACUUUAUACGGUUGAAAAUAAUGCAAAUUGGACUCUUCACCGUUUCCACUAGUUAUACGGUUCAAUUUAUGAUUUAAAAGAUACUCAUUUUUGUGUUCCUAGUAUAAUAGGAUUUAACAUUAUUGAUGAUUACAUUUAGAUUGGAGUUAAUGUCCAUGUUAAUAUUAUUAGAUGAAAAAUCAUAUCUUAUAUAGCAAUCUUAAUUGUAUCUAAUAAAAUUGUAUGACAAUCAUGAUGAAGCAAAUAAAAGUACAACUAUUACUUGUAAUAAUAAAAGUAAACGAAACGA